rnacentral:rRNA from 1 species
CACGUAGGGGCGAGCGUUGUCCGGAUUUAUUGGGCGUAAAGAGCUCGUAGGCGGUUUGGCAAGUCGGGUGUGAAAUUUCGAGGCUCAACCUCGAAACGCCACUCGAUACUGCCAUGACUGGAGUCCGGUAGAGGAGUGCGGAAUUCCUGGUGUAGCGGUGAAAUGCGCAGAUAUCAGGAGGAACACCAACGGCGAAGGCAGCACUCUGGGCCGGUACUGACGCUGAGGAGCGAAAGCGUGGGGAGCAAACAGG